rnacentral:lncRNA from 1 species
UUUUAGUAGAGACAAGGUUUCACUGUAUUAGCCAGGAUGGUCUCGAUCUCCUGACCUUGUGAUCCACCCGCCUCAGCCUCCCAAAGCGCUGGGAUUACAGGCGUGAGCCACUGUGCCUGGCCCUACUUUCUUAUUUUUAACUUUAUGUUUUUCAAAAGCUGGCAUGCAAGGCCAGGUGUGCACUGGCUCACACCUGCAACCCCAGCACUUUGGGAGGCCAAGGCAGGUGGAUCACUUGAGGCCAGGAGUUCAAGACCAGCCUGGCAACAGGGUGAAACCCCAUCUCUAUUUUAAAAAAAAAGAAAAAGAAGAAGAAAAAACUGGCCUAUGAAAGCUUUCAUUGGGAAAAACUGUCUGACAUGAGAGUUGGGCUUUAGGUUACCUGGGUUGCAUGCAUACAAGGUUGUGAAUCCGUUAGCUGAGAGCUAGGAAGAAGCCGCGUGGCAUCAGCUGGUCUCAAACUCCUGACCUUGUGAUCUGCCCUCCUCAGCCUCCCAAAGUGCUGGGAUGACAGGCGU